rnacentral:rRNA from 1 species
UGGGGAAUAUUGCGCAAUGGGGGAAACCCUGACGCAGCGACGCCGUGUGAGGGAAGAAGGCCUUCGGGUCGUAAACCUCUGUCGGGAGGGAAGAACCGCCAGGUUCCGAACAGGAACCUGGCCUGACGGUACCUCUAGAGGAAGCGCCGGCUAACUCCGUGCCAGCAGCCGCGGUAAUACGGCGGGCGCAAGCGUUAAUCGGACUCCCUGGGCGUAAAGCGCACGUAGGCGGGGAGAUAAGUCGGGCGUGAAAGCCCUCGGCCCAACCGAGGAAUUGCGUUCGAUACUGUUUGGCUUGAGUCCUGGAGAGGGUGGCGGAAUUCCGGGUGUAGGAGUGAAAUCCGUAGAUAUCCGGAGGAACACCGGUGGCGAAGGCGGCCACCUGGACAGGUACUGACGCUGAGGUGCGAAAGCGUGGGGAGCAAACA